GUAUUCCCUUAACACAUCUGAGUGUUUAAUGAUUCAUUUGAUUCAAGAGUGCAAGUAGCAAUAUGAGUUGUAGCUAUCCUACGUAUUUUAAUUGAUACUUUUAACUUUUGACUUUUAAGCUAUGAAGCACCUAAAUGACUUCAGAGUAAUGAAUAAAUGAUUUUUGCCUCCUGUUUUUAGUUGGAAUAUAGUGAUACAAUAAAGUAUAUCCUCAAGUCAUAAAAAAUGUUCAUAUUUAUUUUCUAGUAGAAAAGUUUAUUUUAAAAUAGGUUAAAGUUUGAUCUCUUUAUAGGAACAAUACAGUUGCAUAUACUUCUUUGUGUUAAUGACUAAAAGAGGAUACUAUCACUGUAUUAUUAAUUUCUCCUAAUACAUAAUAUAGUAUCUAUAUGAUUAUGACCUCAUGGUCAUGAUUUUUGUCUUUAUGUAGGUCUUCUAUGCUUAAGAAGAAAAAUUCCCACUCCAAGACUACUGGUGUUAACCAACUGCUCUGCAAAUUUGAGGUCUGGGUUAAAAGAGGAGACUAUGGAUGACAUAUACUCUAGAAUGUAUAUCAUAUUAUUCAGAUAAGCAGAAUAAUACGUGGAAGUACCCUGAGUAAAAUUGCACCCCAUAAAUCUGUAAGAACACACUGCCAGUUUUAAGAAUGAUCCAUGUUUCAUUUCAGGGGUAGUGUGCUUUACAAUACAGAUUACAUACAGGUAGGUAGAGGCAAUAUGUGCAGUAGCAUGGCUCCCAAACCUGGCUCAUUGUUGAAAUCUCUUGGCAUAGCCCUUGCAACCAGUAAAAUCAGAAGUUCUAAAAAAAAAAAAGAAGUUCUAGGAUAUAUCCUCAGAAUCCUAUUUUAGAAAUCUUUCUAGUAUGGGAGCUACUACUGUAUUGGCCAGAAGUCUAAGACUUGAAGUCUAAGAAGAGAAACUAAGGCUAAGUUUGUGGAGUCUCACUUUUCUCAUCAUUAAAAGGGGGGAAAUAACCUGCUACGUAGAUUAGAGUAAAUCAUAUGUAUAACCUGCUAUGUAGAUUAGAGUAAAUCAUAUGUAUAACACCUGCCAAAAAUUGCUACUCAGAAGAUAAUCACUAUUUUAAAAAUUGAUGAUAGAUCUUAUAGGGCAAGAUGAACUUCAGUCAAUUGAACAGGAUUUGCCAAGUAGGACUAGACAAGAGUUCAGAAGCUAAGGGUUAAGAAAUAAUAACAAAGGAAAAUAGUGCAUGAGGAAGCAGAUGAGCAAUUCAGUGUGAUGCGGGAAGCACCAAAGUGGGCUGCAGAAAUAGCGUAGAUUGGAGCCAUGAAGAGAGUGAGAACCAAAUUGCCAAAUAAUGUUGAUGGAUCAGAUUGGAGAGACAACUAAUCCAAAACCUAGGGAGAUAGGCCCUGAACUCUAGCUCCAGGAACCAAUGCAGAGACUGGGCACCAGGGAUCAAAGUCCUGGAUCAAGGAGAACCAGCCACCUACAUGAGUGUAGCACACAGUCUAGCAUUAGGUUACUGUUGGAGCAGCCUUCCUAGAUUUAGGGGAUAGGAGCUGGCAGUGAGAAGUUCAUAAUUAUGGAUCAUGGGUAAGCACAGGCAGUUGGACCAUGGUGUCUAUGAUGUCACAAUACUUCCCCAUUUGCUUCCCAUUCUGUGGAUAUGAAGAAACUGAACAAAAGAACAUGGCAGUUGAAAUCCUUCUCAUAUUUGAAAAGAACACGAAGAGAUAGAAGAAUAUGAUGCCACAUUUUAGCUAAUUAGCAUAGUAGGUUUUCAUAAACAAGAAAUAUGAUGUAACAAGAAUAUGAUGCCACAAUUUAGCUAAUUAGCAUAGUAGGUUUUCUUUCAAUGCAAUGGUUGGGAAAAUGGGGUGGCUUUGGAUCUGAGAGAGAAAGGCAAACACUUGCCUUGUGAGGAGAGCAUGAACUGGAACAUGGAGUUAAAGAAAUCUGUAGCUGCUGGUCUCCUUUUCCAAAGCCGCUGCCAUGGAAACUACCACUUCCAUGCAAGGUUCAGAAUUAAAAGCAGAUACUAAUAUCUGUUGAAUGAAUCACUGGCCUGAAUAUCCUUCUGAGAUGAAGUAUUCCAUUAUUAGCUGCCAGGGACCAAGGUUUCACUAAAUGAGGCUUGCCUGAAACACUGAGAUGCAUACGUUGAUCCGCUUUUACCUAAGUGUACAAGAAACAAUUAUCCAUCGACUUCCUUUGAAGAUAAGUUAGAGCUUUAUGUUUCUGUUACAGAAAUCCUCCUGCUUCUUUAAAUAUUACUUUUCUGGGUUUUUUAUUUUUUAAUUUUUAUUUUUAUGAAAGUGCUUAUUAGGUAAUAAUCUGUUUGGCCUAUUUUAUGUCUUCAAAUUAUCUGAUAGUAUAAAUAUUGGAUCACUUUUGGCCAUUUUCUAACUCCACAAAUAAAAAACAUUACAUUUUUAAAAAUAAUGUCACUCAAUAAAUCAAAAUAACUUAAAAUGUGACCAAAUAUUUUUGCUUAGUUCCUCCUGCUUUAACACAUGUGUGUUUUAUCAAAUCUAAAAUUCUGUAAUAGUCCCUGGACAUACAUAAAGAAUGCUUAAUUUAGGCUGCUCUUUAGUCAAUUGGUAGAAAAGAUCUCACUAUCAAUGCAGUUUACGGUUUUAGAAAUCCAAAUCAGCAUAUAAACAAUAUCUCAUUCAGAGCUGAGUCUUUUGCAGUACAGGAAUACUUUAAAUCAGACAACAACAGGACUUUUAUGAGACUCAAACUAUCUAAAGUGAAAUUUCAACACUUGCAAAGGAAAGAGAUUUAUCUUUUUCACCCUAAUAGUUAUAGUUCAAAAUAUACGUGAAACUAUUGACAAUCAUGAACAUAUUUUUCUGGUGUAGGUAUUCCGAUUAGCCUCCUCUAAUUGGAGAGUCACCUUAGGGAAUUCCUCACAAAAUGCUACAUUUUGUUGGAAUAGGACAACACAUGAAUCAAAGGACAUGGAUUCUAUCAGUGCAGUUUAGCUGCACAUUGCUCAGUCGCAUCUGAUGGGGGGAGACCUAGAGAAACACAAGUGGGUCAGGGAUAGGAAAGUGAGGGUCAAGGAUAGGAAGAGCAUGCAUGGUACAUAGACAGACUUCACUUAAUUCAUGUUUGUGCCUUUGGCUGAUCUUGUUAGGUUAGUAACAUUUCCAUGAUUUCCUCUGUUCCUCAAUUUGCUAUUAAACAACCGUCGUAAUCGAGACAUUUAUUCUAAUGCUUAGUAUGAACUUAUUCUCGUAUAAGUUUAUAUACUUUGCCAUUUGCCUAACCUUAGGGGAACUGGUGAGCUACACAUCACACUUAAAAACUUGCUUUCUAUUCUUUUGAUCCAAUGCACUCACUUGCCUUACUCAACCUCAUACCAAGACCAAAUUAAAACUAAAAAAAAAAAGAUUUCUUUCGGCUACUGAACCACUUCCUAAUAAGUACUGAUGUUGAGGACAGGAGGUAAAUUACAUCACCAUUUCUGUUUAUUUUAUUGUGCCGUUUCCAAUGCAAUAUGCUUAUUCAUUCACGUUCAGUAUGCCAAAAAGGAAGGGUGGUUCCAUCUGUGAAAAACUGAUAAUCCAAUCUCUUCUCAGACUAGAUAUUAAUGAGUGAAUGAAGAUAAUUCUGAAUAAUUAUAACCACUGUAUAUUCUAGAUUUUGACAGGUAGUUUGACUUAACACUUUCUAAAUGACCAAGAAACCACUUGAUGUAUUAGAGUACUAAAAAGAGGAGAACUAAGAGUACCACUUUCAAAGAAAGCCACAGUACAUGCUACUUCCAUAUGUCUUCCCCUACUCCACCCCUCGGGGAACAAAUAUUUGUCAGUCAUUUCUAGUUUCACCAAUUUAACAUGGAUGAAUAUGAUGCCAUUAAAUGAGCAUUUGUACACUGAAAUACUAUAAUGUCAUUUUAUAAUCUUAAAUACUUAAAAAUUCAACUCUAAAAAUAUGUAGAACAAAACUACUAUCAUUUUUCAUUGAUGUAUUUCUAAAUGUGUCAUCUUUUUAUCUUAUUUUUUUAAGAUUAUAUUUAUUUCCUUAGAGAGUGACAGAGCGCCAGCAGGCAGGAGACCAAGAGAGAGAGAGAAAGAAUCCCAAACAGGCUCCAUGCUCAGUGUGGAGUCUGACACAGGGCUCAAUCUCGUGACCUGAAAUCAUGAUCUGAACUGAAAUCAGGAGUUGGACUGUCAACAGACUGAGCCACCUGGACACCCCUAAGUGUGUCAUCCUUUGAGAGAGCAACUAAUAGAUUUGGAAAAUAUAUCGUUACUCUCUGUCCUUAACCUGCCUCCUCGAAGUAUAUUUGCAUAAAUGUGUAUAAACAAAUAUGUCCAUAUACUAAAUAUAUAGUAAAUAUUCUAUAUUGUCAAGAAAAUUUGGAGAUUAUUUUAUGCUCUCAAGACAAAAUAUAUUAAAUAUUUGAAAUGGAUUUUUAACAUAUGUGUAAAUUUAGUGAAAUCAGAGCUGAAAAGGACUUCAUAGUGUAGGUAGAGUGAGUUCUGAUCCUUCUUUGUCUAAUAAGUAA